AUACAGAGGGUGCGAGCGUUAAUCGGAAUUACUGGGCGUAAAGCGCGCGUAGGCGGCUUAUUAAGUCAGAUGUGAAAUCCCCGGGCUCAACCUGGGAACUGCAUCUGAUACUGGUAAGCUAGAGUUUUGGAGAGGGAAGUAGAAUUUCAGGUGUAGCGGUGAAAUGCAUAGAGAUCUGAAGGAAUACCAGUGGCGAAGGCGACUUCCUGGCCAAAAACUGACGCUGAGGUGCGAAAGCGUGGGUAGCAAGCGGGAUUAGAAACCCCAGUAGUCC
rnacentral:rRNA from 1 species